CCUACGGGGCGCAGCAGUGGGGGAUAUUGCACAAUGGGGGAAACCCUGAUGCAGCGACGCCGCGUGAGUGAAGAAGUAUUUCGGUACGUAAAGCUCUAUCAGCAGGGAAGAAAAAUGACGGUACCUGACUAAGAAGCCCCGGCUAACUACGUGCCAGCAGUCGCGGUAAUACGUAUGGGGCAAGCGUUAUCCGGAUUUACUGGGUGUAAAGGGAGCGCAGGCGGCCUGCCAAGUCUGGUGUGAAAACCCGGGGCCCAACCCCGGGCCUGCAUUGGAAACUGGCGGGCUGGAGUGUCGGCGGGGCA
rnacentral:rRNA from 1 species